GCAAAGGUAGCAUAAUCAUUUGCCCUUUAAUUGGGGGCCUGUAUGAAUGGAUUCUCUCUGCCUAACUCUCCCUCACCUAUUCAAGAAAAUUUUUCUCCAGACGAAGAAACCUGCAUCCUAAUGAAGGACCAGAAGACCCUAUAGAGCUCAGCAUCUAACGCUCACAUAUUGCCCAAGAAGCUUCGUUGGGGCGACGAAAGAUUACAAUCAUCUUCACCCAUUCUACACCCAAGUUUCCAAAUUACCCACAACUAGUGAAUUAGUAAAAGCUACCUUAGGGAUAACAGUCUAAUUUCUUUCAAUAGUUCACAUUAACAAAGAAGCUUGGCAC
rnacentral:rRNA from 1 species